AUUGUACUUCCUCCGUUUAGAAUUACUUGUCGCAAAAAUGAAUGUAUCUAAAUGUAUUUUAGUUAUAGGUACAUCCAUUUCUGUGACAAGUAAUUCGGGACGGAGGAAGUAACAU
rfam:Triticum aestivum genome assembly, contig: Triticum_aestivum_CS42_TGACv1_scaffold_472688_6AL